ACACGAUGAAAGGAGGUGAUCCGGAAGUGUUUUCUUCUCGGAUGCGUGAGGUGGCUGCGGGCUGAGGCCUGCUGUCGCGCUCUCCACUGUCGGCAGGCCUCCUGCCGCAAUCCCCAGCAGUCACCCGACCCGUGGGCCGCCGGAAUCCGACCGGCAUCCUCCGUAACGUACGGCGGAGGAUUCAGGCCCACGGGUCGUCCGCG
rnacentral:sRNA from 1 species